rnacentral:rRNA from 1 species
GAACGCUGGCGGCAGGCCUAACACAUGCAAGUCGAGCGGUAGAGAGGUGCUUGCAUCUCUUGAGAGCGGCGGACGGGUGAGUAAUGCCUAGGAAUCUGCCUGGUGGUGGGGGGAUAACGUUCGGAAACGGACGCUAAUACCGCAUACGUCCUACGGGAGAAAGCGGGGGGAUCUUCGGACCUCGCGCCAUUAGAUGAGCCUAGGUCGGAUUAGCUAGUUGGUGAGGUAAUGGCUCACCAAGGCGACGAUCCGUAACUGGUCUGAGAGGAUGAUCAGUCACACUGGAACUGAGACACGGUCCAGACUCCUACGGGAGGCAGCAGUGGGGAAUAUUGGACAAUGGGCGAAAGCCUGAUCCAGCCAUGCCGCGUGUGUGAAGAAGGUCUUCGGAUUGUAAAGCACUUUAAGUUGGGAGGAAGGGUAGUAACCUAAUACGUUGCUACUUUGACGUUACCGACAGAAUAAGCACCGGCUAACUUCGUG